rnacentral:rRNA from 1 species
GACGAACGCUGGCGGCGUGCCUAAUACAUGCAAGUCGAACGCAGUGGGGACGGGUGAGUAACACGUGGGUAACCUCCCAUCAGAGGGGAUAACACUUGGAAACAGGUGCUAAAACGAUACUGAUGGAUGGACCCGCGGUGCAUUAGCUAGUUGGUGAGGGAACGGCUCACCAAGGCCACGAUGCAUAGCCGGCCGUAGAGGUUGACAGGCCACACUGGGCAUGAGAGACUGCCCAGAUGCGUACGGGAGGCAGCAGGAGUGAAUUUUCGGCUAUUGACGAAAGUCUGACCGAGCAACGCCGCGGGAUUGAAGAAGGUUUUCGGAUCGUAAAACUCUUUUGUUAGAGAAGCGGUAUCUAACCAGAAAGCCCCGGCUAACUACGUGCCAGCAGCCGCGGUAAUAC